GACGUAGGAGGCGAGCGUUGUCCGGAUUCAUUGGGCGUAAAGAGCACGCAGGCGGUUUGGCAAGUCGGAUGUGAAAACCCGGAGCUCAACUCCGGACCUGCAUCCGAAACUGCCCGACUAGAGGGUAGGUAGGGGAGAUCGGAAAUUCCUGGUGUAGCGGUGAAAUGCGCAGAUAUCAGGAGGAACACCAAUUGCGAAGGCAGCUCGCUGGGACGUUACUGACGCUGAGACGCGAAAGCGUGGGGGAGCAAAACAGGAUUAGAU
rnacentral:rRNA from 1 species